GAUGAACGCUGGCGGCGUGCCUAAUACAUGCAAGUCGAGCGAACGGACGAGAAGCUUGCUUCUCUGAUGUUAGCGGCGGACGGGUGAGUAACACGUGGAUAACCUACCUAUAAGACUGGGAUAACUUCGGGAAACCGGAGCUAAUACCGGAUAAUAUUUUGAACCGCAUGGUUCAAAAGUGAAAGACGGUCUUGCUGUCACUUAUAGAUGGAUCCGCGCUGCAUUAGCUAGUUGGUAAGGUAACGGCUUACCAAGGCAACGAUGCAUAGCCGACCUGAGAGGGUGAUCGGCCGCACUGGAACUGAGACACGGUCCAGACUCCUACGGGAGGCAGCAGUAGGGAAUCUUCCGCAAUGGGCGAAAGCCUGACGGAGCAACGCCGCGUGAGUGAUGAAGGUCUUCGGAUCGUAAAACUCUGUUAUUAGGGAAGAACAUAUGUGUAAGUAACUGUGCACAUCUUGACGGUACCUAAUCAGAAAGCCACGGCUAACUACGUGCCAGCAGCCGCGGUAAUACGUAGGUGGCAAGCGUUAUCCGAAUUUAUGGGCGUNAAGCGCGCGUAGGCGGUUUUUUAGUCUGAUGUGAAAGCCCACGGCUCAACCGUGGAGGGUCAUUGGAAACUGGAAAACUUGAGUGCAGAAGAGGAAAGUGGAAUUCCAUGUGUAGCGGUGAAAUGCGCAGAGAUAUGGAGGAACACCAGUGGCGAAGGCGACUUUCUGGUCUGUAACUGACGCUGAUGUGCGAAAGCGUGGGGAUCAAACAGGAUUAGAUACCCUGGUAGUCCACGCCGUAAACGAUGAGUGCUAAGUGUUAGGGGGUUUCCGCCCCUUAGUGCUGCAGCUAACGCAUUUAGCACUCCGCCUGGGGAGUACGACCGCAAGGUUGAAACUCAAAGGAAUUGACGGGGACCCGCACAAGCGGUGGAGCAUGUGGUUUAAUUCGAAGCAACGCGAAGAACCUUACCAAAUCUUGACAUCCUUUGACAACUCUAGAGAUAGAGCCUUCCCCUUCGGGGGACAAAGUGACAGGUGGUGCAUGGUUGUCGUCAGCUCGUGUCGUGAGAUGUUGGGUUAAGUCCCGCAACGAGCGCAACCCUUAAGCUUAGUUGCCAUCAUUAAGUUGGGCACUCUAAGUUGACUGCCGGUGACAAACCGGAGGAAGGUGGGGAUGACGUCAAAUCAUCAUGCCCCUUAUGAUUUGGGCUACACACGUGCUACAAUGGACAAUACAAAGGGCAGCGAAACCGCGAGGUCAAGCAAAUCCCAUAAAGUUGUUCUCAGUUCGGAUUGUAGUCUGCAACUCGACUACAUGAAGCUGGAAUCGCUAGUAAUCGUAGAUCAGCAUGCUACGGUGAAUACGUUCCCGGGUCU
rnacentral:rRNA from 1 species